rnacentral:lncRNA from 1 species
AAAAAUAAAUAAAUAAAUAAACAAAUAAAUAAAUAUACCUCCGAUGAAAUGUAAAUACUUGCCCUUUUUCAUAUAGUUACAUUCCUGAAUAAGUAGCUGUUGACAUGCUUGCCAGUUGCCGCCUUAAAAUAUGCCACAACAUCUAAAUAUUCUGCUCUGAAUCUAAGGAUCAACUGUUUCCAGUCCUGCCUAAAUUCUGAGCUUAGUCAUAUGAAUCACUUUCGUAUUACAUAUACAAUUCUUUGAUCAAAGUCUAUCAAAACAUGUAAUGACUCAUGCUUGAUUUGAUAGUUAAGUACUUAAGUGGGUUCACGAAGGCACUUUGCUUUAAUGAAAUACAGAUCACCUAUGUUCACCUUCCUCAAGAUAAACUACAAAGACAAUAUAAAGAGAAUCAUGCAACACAAGGACAUUUAUCAAUUCCCG